CUCUGCUGGAUCAGUGGCGAACGGGUGAGUAACACGUGAGCAAUCUGCCCCUGACUCUGGGAUAAGCGCUGGAAACGGCGUCUAAUACUGGAUACGAACCACGGAGGCAUCUUCGGUGGUUGGAAAGAUUUUUCGGUCUGGGAUGAGCUCGCGGCCUAUCAGCUUGUUGGUGAGGUAAUGGCUCACCAAGGCGUCGACGGGUAGCCGGCCUGAGAGGGUGACCGGCCACACUGGGACUGAGACACGGCCCAGACUCCUACGGGAGGCAGCAGUGGGGAAUAUUGCACAAUGGGCGCAAGCCUGAUGCAGCAACGCCGCGUGAGGGAUGACGGCCUUCGGGUUGUAAACCUCUUUUAGCAGGGAAGAAGCGAAAGUGACGGUACCUGCAGAAAAAGCGCCGGCUAACUACGUGCCAGCAGCCGCGGUAAUACGUAGGGCGCAAGCGUUAUCCGGAAUUAUUGGGCGUAAAGAGCUCGUAGGCGGUUUGUCGCGUCUGCUGUGAAAUCCCGAGGCUCAACCUCGGGCCUGCAGUGGGUACGGGCAGACUAGAGUGCGGUAGGGGAGAUUGGAAUUCCUGGUGUAGCGGUGGAAUGCGCAGAU
rnacentral:rRNA from 1 species